CCUCCUUUAAGUCGCUGUUGUUGGGUCACAGCGACGACGAGGCUUACUAAAAUGUUCUGCUAGUAGGUUUACCUACAUUCACUGUGACAUCAGCUCCUCCAGGGCAGGCGUCCCUGGGUGGUGAUGACCUGUGUGGCUCUAGCACCUGGAACUAGGACCAACGUCCUUGGCAAAUAUUUGUGGAAUAAAGAAUUAAUCCUCGAGCCUCACCACGAUCUUAGUGAAGCAGGGAUUGGAACUGUCUCUUACAAACGAGAAAACUCAGAAAAGUUGAGUAAAGCGGCCCAGAGCCGCACACCUCCUUCAGACUCAGAGCUCAGCCCUGGACGGGGCCCCUGCAGUCCUGGCUCAGGGCUCUUCUCCGCCCCUUUGGCCUGUGCCUUUCCCGUUUGGCUGGUGCCUUGUCGCCUUGGCAGACAGGAGCGCGGCUCUCCCCACACUUGCUCUGCAUUUUCCCUCUGGCCAUGGGAUAGCCCCACCAUUCCUCGGCCCGACCGGUGGUGGGUGACCUGAUCCCUCAAAUCCCUGCUCCUUCUUUGAGGCGUGUGGCGGGUGCAUCAGAGCGUCUGUGACAAACUGGGGCAGAGAGGACUGACCUCUGUGUGCACAGGGUCACUCGCCCAUAGCUUCUGUGGACGUCUCAUCUGCAGGGGGAUCACCUGACCCUCCCCAUGCGGUUGGCACCUAUCAGACCUGCCCUGUGCCGGACCCUGUGCUCGCUGCUGGCUUGGACCCUCGAGGAACGUGCAGCCGAGCGGAAUCCUUCAGGACAGAGAAUUUGGGGAGAUGAGGGAAAAUCAGCAAGCGUGGACAGUGAUGACGGGAAAAGAGGCCACCUCAAAGCUCUGGACCCGUCGGGGUGCUGUUCCAGCCGUUCUUCCUCGUCGGCAGGUUCCCAGCCCGUGUGUCUGGACCCAGCCAUCCCACCUGGGGGGCUGGUUUCUGCUGAUCUGGCCCCGGUGACAUUGGCUCCACGUUUGCAGCCAUAGCACCAGUGUCCCCUUGGAGGACCUGCUGUCCCCCGUCCACAUGUGAAAGGACUCUGGAUCCAGGUGCCCUUCCUUCCUGCCACUGUCCAAGAAGUGGGGGCUCCAGAGGACAACACAAGUCCCUCCCAGUGCCGAUUCCCUGGGGAAGGCGUUCAGUGGUGUCCACUGCCUGGUCUCAGCCUGGUCUGUCCCUGUCUUCCCCAGCAUCUGGACGCUUGUUUAUCAUCAUAGAGAAGAGACGUAAAGGAACAGAGAGUAAAGAGGAGGGAACAGAGGCGCUUUCUGGCUUUGGUUUUUCAAAAGCCCUUCAAGUGAUCUCCCCGGCCACACCCUUCGUCUGGUUUUCUCCUGGCCUGUAGACUGCAUCCUUCUAGAUGUGGAGGAGUUCUGUGAGCAGCAGGAAUCCACACUCCUGCCUUUCCAUCCUGUCUGGUCCCACGAUGGAAUCCGGAACCACUGGGUCUGGAGACUGUUUUUCUAUCCCCCUCUGUGCUUCAGUGUUGCCCUCUCAGUGUUAGGACAUCCAAUUAUCUACCCCCAAAUGUGGAGCAGAGACACCAAUCUCUUCGCUGGGCACGGCCUUGGCGACACUCCUAUGCAAGUUGGGAUGAGGUUCGAGCUGACUUUUUACCCCCAGAGGCCAGUUGGUGCCACAGGCUCUGUCCUUGUCUACACAGAAAAGCUGGGUAGACAUUCAUACGCUUUGCCCACCUCUGCCAAGUCGAUUUUCUCUUCUCCGUCUGAUUUGAGGUUGGUUGACUGUUGCGGAGAAGAAAGAUUAAGAAAUCGAGAGUAUGGGCACUGGAAUCAAGCAGUGGUAUGUGGGGCACUUUGUCUUGAGUGGAUUAUCUCAUUGAGGCUGCUGAGUGAUCCUAUCUUAUUUUCCAGAUAUGGAAACUGAGGAACGGAGAUCAAAACAAAAUCUUUGUGCCUACAGGUUCCUGCAGCUGGGACAUGGCACCAGGAUCUCUCCCUAGGAAGCCCGGCUCUGGGAUUGGUUCUCUUUCUCACUCCGUGGUUCAUCUUUCCUGGAGCCAGCUGAAUGUUUUCUCUGUCAGUCGUCCUCAGGAGAGAGAGGACUAUUCCAGCCAUGGCGCAUGCAGUUCAUCAUGGAUGCAAACUCGGUGGCACUGCGGCUGCUGCCUGAGCCCGGGGUUGAAAAGUAUCCAGGUUUCUCAAGAGCUGGUGGAUUCAGAGCACAGCAGCAGAGGUGGACCUGCUCUUGGCUGUCUCUGGACUAUGCUGUUGGGAUGUCUAGGUCCUGGUUAUCUAGUCAUCCCCACCCUUCCUGGUAGUCCCAUCCCCCUCCCCUAACACGCAUGCCCUGUUCUCUCCAACAUCCGGACUCGUUGCCUGUGCUGCCCCCUCUACCCACAUGUGAAAAGCCCACAGCCACCACCUACCUCGCUCAUCUUGUCUUAGUGGAGUCUCUUGGUGUUGAACUGUGAUCCAACACCGAUGAAGUAGUCAGAGAUAGACAUCAAGACCACCAGCAGACCCGAAGUCGGGUGCAGGCCAGGGGGGAUCCGUCCCUGGUUUCUGUCCUUUCUUAGAGCCUCGCUCAACACAAUAUUCAUGGCAGACUUAAAUGAAAGAAUGAGUGGGCAGAUUCUUCAGAUGUUUCCCAACUGUCCAUCCUGCCAACUCUUUGAGAAUAGGGAUGUGUUAUGGAAUUCCUCUGGGCUCUCCACAGCACAUCGGGGUAUACAGUGAUGUCUUUGAAUCUGUGGGGACAGAAACCAGGCUAAUCAAACCUCCUUCACAGAGUGGUAUUGAACAUUCUGAAUGAGAUGGAGAAUAAUUAAAGCCCAGAGCAUGAACUCAAUAAAUAUUUGAUUUACAAAUAAUAAUAAAUAAAAUCAUGGCACUUACAGGUUUGACUGACUUAACCAUAUAGAAGGUACUAUUUUUCUAUGCAUUAUUUAAUGCUUCUUUUUUACUCUCAGUAUUAAUAUAUAAUUCACUUAUGUCAGCUUUAGCUGUGUAACCAGCCACCCAGAAAUUUAGUAGCUUAAAACAAUAAUGGUUUAUAUACUUCAAGUGGGUGAUCUUUAUGAUAUGUAAUUCAUAGCUCCAAAAAAGUUUGCUUAAAAAUAAACAACCAGCAUCAAAGAAA